rnacentral:lncRNA from 10 species
AAAAUUCGUUCUUUGGGGAGCUUAUGGGAGGAGAGUAAAAAAUUCUCAGAAAAAAAUAAAAAGGUGUAGAAAUGAGAGAGAUGUAAAUAGCUACCAAAGGAGAAUUGACAAGUCUGAGCAGAAGAAGCACAGAUAUCAAAAGGCAAAGGAGGAGGAAGACUUGCUGUAAUCCCAAGCCAUCUCUAAGUAUGUUCAUUCUGGAGUCCAGACAUUCUGAAAACCAAAUGGAAGAAAAGGAGCCAAGGUGACUAAGAAGGAUCAGCCAGAAAGGAAUGAGGAAAAGCAGGAGUGCCCAGAACCUCAAAAGCUGAGAGAAAGUGAACUUCAAAGAACAGAAGUGCAUCUGGGUAGAUAUCCUAAAGACUUGAAAUCAGUAUGUGGAAGAGGCAUCUGCAUUGCUAUGUUCAUUGCAGCAUUAUUCACAAUAACCCAGAUGUUGAAUCAACCUAAGUGUCUAUCCAUAGAUGAAUGAAUGAAGGAAAUAUGAUCUGUAUACAUAAUGAAAUACUAUUCAGCCAUAAAAAAGAGUGAAAUCCUGUCAGUUGCAUCAUGGAACUGAAGGACAUAAUGGAAUACUAUUUAGCCUGAAAACAGAAUUCAUACUCCAAGCCCCACAAUACGCAAUAUACCUUUGUAACAAGCCUGUACAUGUACCCCUGAUUCUAAAAUAAAACCUGAAUAAGAAGAAGAAAAUCCUGUCAUUUUUUGACAACAUGACUAAAUGGCUGAACCUGGAGGACAUUUUGAUAAGUGAAAUAAGCGAAUCACAGAAAGACAAAAGCCAUGUUUUCACUUAUACGUGGAAUUUGAAACAAACUCAUAAUAGCAG